rnacentral:lncRNA from 1 species
ACAAGCAGAUAGACAGCAGAACAAGGCAGCAGAGAAAGAGAGAAGAGGAGGAGUGUCUGAAUGAUGAGAGGAGUUCGGCUGGGUGUGGUUGGAGAGGACUUCGGCUGCUGGACAGCCAGACUCCAGGGGAAGAUCGCCUUCCCACUCCAUCCUCCCUUCCAGCUCCCCAUCCAUCCCACCGAGAGCCACGUCCACCACUCAGCAAAACCCUGCAUUCAUCCUUCAAAUCUGUGUGUGACCCGAUUCUUCCAGGAUGCUGCGCAAGAGCUCAGGAUACAGAAAGCUGUCACACUGGCCCUUGGCCCUUGCAAAAGGCAGAGGGUCCACUGAGCUGGUUAACACUUAAGCCAUCUGUGGAUGGCAAAGCUAAAAGAACAUGGUAACACUGGGACUGCAGGCACCCACCCCUAGACACUACUGCAGGGCUGGAGCCCAAAGCAAUUGUCCCUGCUUGCACCUGCCUGUCUGCAUGCUCCCACUCCGGUCAGGGGUUUGGAUGGUGGCGGCGAUGGAACAGGUGAGCCACACCCCCAUUACACGUUAUUUGAGGGGGAUCAGGAGACUCCCAUUUCACCUAUAGACAUUUAUUUCAAGAGAAGCAUUUCAGGAAUAUAUGUACUUUAUUAAAGAUGUAUACCUAUUUUUAAAAAUCGUUUUGUAAUUAGCUUAGUUGAUAUCUUUGGAAGCCUUAGAGUGAGAAAAAAAUACUGCUUGUUGGACUGGGAAAAGAGGGAUGAGAACCACACAAUUAUAUGAAAGAAUUAGUGAAUUAACUGCAUUUAGUCCAUAUUUACUGCCUUACCUGCUUCUGUUGUGGGUUUAUACAUGUGAUGAUAACUGACCUUUGGGUAGAAGCAUCGUCAUCUCUGCUGGGAUCAACACUCAUCCUGGUUUAGGCUUCAGCUUCCUGUGGAACAUGGACCCUUUGUUGCUGGGACAGGUGGCCCUCCUCAAGGACUCUGAGAAGCAGGUGCGUGCUUUGGUGGGGGUAGGAGUACCGAGGGGAUGAGGAACGGGAGGAACUGCUGGCAUUCUAAGCCAUCGGAUGAGGGAAUGGAGGAGCGAGAUUUGCCAUAAGCGAUGUCCUGUCUAGGGAGCCAUGACCGACUUGCUCGGGCUUCCAUGAGCAGCAUCUGUCCGAAUUAGGGCUGCUGCCCUCCUCUGCACCACGGCCUCCAGAACAGAUCUAAUUAUAGCGCUUGGCAUGCUCUAGUUUAGUUCACUUCAGGAACUUCCUUUUUACUUGCUUAUUCUCAGUGCUUCUGCAAAUGCAUGACACAUAAUUGCUACAGUGAUCCUUGAGGGGGAAAAACAUGAAUGCAGCCAUCCCCAUUGCUGGGGAAACUACAGUGAUCCCUUGAGGGGGAAAAACAUGAAUGCAGCCAUCCCCAUUGCUGGGGAAACUACAGUGAUCCCUUGAGGGGGAAUACAUGAAUGCAGCCAUCCCCGUUGCUGGGGAAACAGUGGCGCUGGGGAUAUGCCCUCCUGGCAAAGGCCUUAGUUGGCAAUUCAGGGCCGGGGCAGAGAGAGAAGCAGACCUUUGUCAAAUGUGUUGAGUUGCGCUGCUAACUGGUUUCUGAGCAAAGGCUCCCUGUGCGUGUUCCAGCAUGAUCUGUGCUCAGGCCCACACAUAUGCCAAUGCUGCUGGUGACCCUCCAACCCCGUGACACCACCACCUCAGCCGGCUCACACUGUGGACGAGGAAGAGGCCCUGUGCGCCGGGGAGGGAGGCUCUGCUUGUCAGGAACAACUUGCGUCUAUCAUGACUCUUGAGUUUGGACCAACUUCUGAAAGUAAACAAUCCUGUCCUGAAGCAGGGUGAGUGGACGACCUAAUUGGCUCUGACCAGUCCCCACUUUAGCAGCUGUGACUUUGCUCAUCCUGUUGGAGUGUCUUUGCGAAUUACACAGAGGACCAUCAACAGCCGAUCCCAAGAGCAGAUCCAGCCUGGAAUCUGAUGCUAAUGUUAAUUGAAUAACAGAAUCAUGGCCCCUCAGGGCUGGACAAACUGAUGGAGGAGAGGGAUGUACAGAGAGUCCUUGGGACUGGUUACAUGAUCAGAUUCACCCUUAGAGAAAGUGAUGACAAUGUGAGCCCAAACCAAAGGACACACAGAUUCACCCUUAAUUUAGGGAGCAUGUAUAUCAGGCACGUAGAUUUCCAAACGUCAUUUCAAAGUUUGCAAACAAGUUGCUUAGUCUUUCCUUGAAGCCAGCAUCAACUAAAGCCAAAAUCGUGUGCGAUCUUAUCAGCUAGUACGCUGCGUGAACGUUUAGAACAAGGAAUAUGAGAUCAGCAGUCAUCCUUACCUAUGUAAGGAUCGAGCUUUUUCAGCAUUCGGGUUUGACUUUAAUCUUCUGAUACUAAGCACAGCCCUGUGGAGCCGCUGAGAACACGGACUGCCCAGGAAGAUGUGAAUGUGAAUUGUCCCGUCCUGGGGGCAAGCCCACAGGAGGUCCCCACGGCUGCCUGAGCCACCCCAGCAGGCGCACAGGAGCCUUGACUUCUGUACAACUUAUUAUGCUGGGCUAAUAAUCUUCUUUUUUUUUUCUAUUUUUCUUUUUCUUUUUUCUUUUUUUUAAAGGAGUGAUUGUAGAUGCUAAGGCGGGGAUUUAAAUCUUCUCAAAUGGCAAGGUAAGAGCACACAUACACACACCACAUACGAGCACACACCUGCAAACGCACGUGGACACACAGCCAGGGGCUCAGAGCAUGGCUCUGCCUCUCACGGAUGAACUUGAGAAAGUAACUUAAGAUUCCUGUGCCUCAGCUUUCUCUCCUGUAAAAUGGGGAUAAGACCCUCCCAUUCCUGAGAAACUGGGUUUUGGCGAGUGGCAAAUAAGGCGUCCACUACAGAGUACAUGCGUGUACCUGGUAUUAUUGCUACUGAAUGCAAGAAGCCGGGAGCUGAGGAAAUCAGAAUGGAACCUGGGGCUCCGGAGGCCCGGGCCGGGAUCAGCAAAGCUUUCGGAAGAUAGAGAGGUCAGGUGCGUUCACCACGGGUUUGGCUUCGCCGCAAUGGGAAAGCAGCUCCGUUCCAAUGAAACUUUAUCUAGAAACACUCGGCAGGCUGGAUUUGGCCUUGAGUCAUGGUUUUCUGAGGAUUCUAGACCAAGACAAGCCCAGAAGCUGCGGAAUUCGGGAGGACGUUGGAGUGCAGCCUCCAUAGUGGUUCCUUCCCCCUCCGCGGUGAGCGCGGGCCGGGGGCGCAGAGCUGAGUCCGGUGCCGGAGGUGACUCGGUGGCUGAGUUCCAGGGGCCCGGGCUCGCGGCCUAGGAGAGGUGGCAGGAAAAGCAGGCCUGGGCGUCCUCGGCGGCGGAGAGCUCCGCGGAAAGGCCAUGCGGGGGGACCCGGCGUCCUGCCUUGAGUGUCCCCAGCAGGGCUGGAGCCUGGCGGUCAGGGAUGAAGGGCGUGUCCGUGCCCAGGGCGGGUUGCCGGCUCCCAGCCCUGCAAGGCCAAGCUCAGGCCACUGUCCCGGAGGCCUUUCCACGGAGCAGCAGAGAAGCUGGCCAGGACCACGCCGCAGGAGCCUUUUUAAAACUCAAGUCCACUGACGGCCUCCACCGGAGCUGCUCAGCACCGGCCCUGGUUCCCCUGGCGCCGACCUCCUCGGCCUCACUUGUGGGGGACGCGGAGCACUGGGCAUCUGGAGGGCCGGGGCACGGAGAGAGGCUGACCCAGCGAAGGGUGCUGGAUUCACCACGGUGAGCCCCAAAGAUGCCCGCUGGCAGCUUCCAAGAAAAUGCUCAUGAAAAACUCUGGCCUUGCCUCCACGCGUCAGCCUCGCCUCUGUCCUCCUCCCCAGCGAACCCACCCUCCUUCAGGCAUGUUAUUUCCAGACUCAGCCUGGGAUCCAAUGUGUGAUCUAACCUUUGCCCUGCACCCCUCACUGACAUCAGGCUGAGCGGUCCUGCCUCUGAGCCACCAGGAAGUACUGAGAGGGUAUAAGCGAGAUCUCCCAAUAAGAAUUUUUUUCAUAACAACAAAUAGUAUGCUGUCUGCAUUGUUGUAUUUUUUUUCCAUUUUCCAAGGAGAUUUUCCAGAAAAGCAAACAUUUUCUUCCAAAAAUGGAAUGUUUUUUUCUUUUAUUUUGUUUAUUUAUUUUGGCUGCUUAUUUCAUUUUAUUAUUUGGCUGUUACACUACAUAUAUAUACAUAGUGUAACUAUAUAGUGUAACUACUGAUGUUGUAUGUUGAUUUUAUAUCCUGCAACUUUACAGAAUUUAUCAGUUCUAAUAGUUUUUUAGGUGGAGUCUUUAGGUUUUUCCAAAUAUAAGAUCAUAUAAUCUGCAAACAUAUAUAUAUAUAUAUAUGCUGAAUUAAAUAUUUUGGUACAGGCAUGCAAUGCUUCAUAAUCAUAUCAUAGAAAAUUAGAUAUCCCUCCCCUCAAGAAUUGUUACAAACAAUCCAAUUAUACUCUUUUAGUUACUUUAAAAUUUGCGAUUAAAUUAAAUGAUUAUUGACUAUAGUCCUCCUGUUAUGCCUACAAGUACUAGGUCUUAUUCCUUUUUUCUAUGUUUUUUGUACCCAUUAACCAUCCCCUCCUACCUCCCUCACCCCGCACACCACUACCCUUCCAAGACUGUGGUAACCAUUUUUUCUACUCUCUAUCUCUAUGAGUUCAAUUGUUUUGAUUUUUAGAUUCCACAAAUAAGUGAGAGCAUGUGAUGUUUAUGUUUCUGUGCCUGUCUUAUUUCACUUAAUAUAAUGACCUUCAUUUCCAUCCAUGUUGUUGCAAAUGACAGAAUCUCAUUUUUCUUUAUGGCUGAAUAGUACUCCAUUGUGUAUAUGUACCACAUUUUCUUUAUCCAUUCAUCUGAUAAUAAACACUUAGGUUGCUUCCAAAUCUUAGCUAUUGAAAAC